ensembl:lncRNA
CUUUUGCCCUUUGAUCUUUCUCCAUUAUUGGUUGUACACACACACACACACACACACACUGCACAGAGAGAGAGAGAGCAGAGCCGCGGGAAGCAGCAGGCACGGCCACUGCCCCGGUCAGUGCUCGCGACAGUCCCCGGAUCUACCCUACUAACCAACGAGGACACUCUACACGGGAGUCCCGGAGUAUCCUUUCGUUCCAACGAAGAUAAGGAUACACGUUUCACCCCACAGACCUGAGAAGAAGAAUGUAAAAAAAAAAGAAGGAAAAUGCCUCGGAAAAAGCAAGACCAACCGCAGCGCUUAGGGCUACAAUCACGUAAGUGUAUUCGGUAAUACUGCUUUCUGCUCUGUUCAGUGGAGCGGUAACCAGGGGCGGAGAGGUGAAACGGGGAAGGGAUACGGUAGCACGAGAGGGAGAUGAGCGGUGGAAUACCGUAGCCUGAGAGGUCUGGAUCUACUGCACCUCGGCAGCUCGCGGGCGGCAGCCAUGUUGUGAACCGAGAGAGCUGGAGCGGGUACGCAAGCCGUGACCGCAAGCCUUGACCGCGGGGCCGGUGGAUCAAUAACGGGGCUUCCAUGUCUUCUCCCUGGACCUCCUCAAUGUCCACCUCUUGAGCAUCAGACUCUGAGGCCUCAUCUUCACUGUCACUUUCCAACCUUGUUGAGGAAGGCUUGUUGUCAGGCACAAAAAGCCUCAAAUCUGCCCGGAUGGCCAGCAAUUUUUCAACCCUUGUAUUGGUCAGCCUGUUGCGUGCUUUGGUGUGUGUGUUCCCAAACAAGGACCAGUUGCGCUCUGAGGCGGCUGAUGUUGGUGGGAUUUGGAGGAUGAUGGAGGCAACAGGGGAAUGAGCCUCAGAUCCACAAAGUCCCUUCCACCAGGUGGCUGAUGAGAUAUGUUGGCACGACUGUCAUAUUGCAUCUCCAUCCCAAAGUCCUUGCUUGGAAGUAUACUUCGCCAGACUGCCAAGAACCUUGCCCUCAUCCAGGCCAAGGUGGUGAGACACGAUAGUGAUGACACCAUAGGCCUUGUCGAUCUCUGCACCAGACAGGAUGCUCUUGCCAUCAUACUUGGGGUCCAACAUGUACGCUGCGGUGUGUGUGGGCUUCAGGCAGAAGUCUUCAAGCUUUUUGAUGUAUUUCAGAACUGCAGUUUCCUCUGCUUGGAGCAACAGUGAAGUGGGCAGGGCUGUACGGAUUUCUUCUCUUACAUCUACAAGCAGAGUCUGAACAUCAGACAGGAUGGCAUUGUCUCCCUCAAUCCGUGCAAUGGCUACUGCUAUAGGUUUCAGGAGUUUCAUGCUGAGUUUCACUCUCUCCCGAAAUACAUCAUCCAGGAGGAUCCUCUUGAUGGGGCUGUCCAUAUCGGCAGACUGUGAUAUAGUAAUUUCUUGGAGAGACUCCUUCCCCUCCAGGAGACUGUCAAACAUGAUGACACCACCACCCCAACGGGUGUUGCUGGGCAGCUUCAAUGUGGUGCUCUUAUUCUUCUCACGUUGCUUGAUGGGGAUAAGGCCCCAGCAGCAGUCACAGAAGAAGAGAUGAGUUGUGUCAGUGAUACAGAGGAAAGAACACCCACCUCCUCCCCCAAUCCUCCCCCAUCCCUGACCCCUACACCCACCUCCUCCCCCAAUCCUCCCCCAUCCCUGACCCC